rnacentral:rRNA from 1 species
GAUGAACGCUGGCGGCGUGCCUAAUACAUGCAAGUCGAGCGAACAGACGAGGAGCUUGCUCCUCUGACGUUAGCGGCUGACGGGUGAGUAACACGUGGAUAACCUACCUAUAAGACUGGGAUAACUUCGGGAAACCGGAGCUAAUACCGGAUAAUAUAUUGAACCGCAUGGUUCAAUAGUGAAAGACGGUUUUGCUGUCACUUAUAGAUGGAUCCGCGCCGCAUUAGCUAGUUGGUAAGGUAACGGCUUACCAAGGCUACGAUGCGUAGCCGACCUGAGAGGGUGAUCGGCCACACUGGAACUGAGACACGGUCCAGACUCCUACGGGAGGCAGCAGUAGGGAAUCUUCCGCAAUGGGCGAAAGCCUGACGGAGCAACGCCGCGUGAGUGAUGAAGGUCUUCGGAUCGUAAAACUCUGUUAUUAGGGAAGAACAAAUGUGUAAGUAACUAUGCACGUCUUGACGGUACCUAAUCAGAAAGCAACGGCUAACUACGUG